rnacentral:rRNA from 1 species
GACAGAGGGUGCAAACGUUGUUCGGAAUUACUGGGCGUAAAGCGCGUGUAGGCGGCCCGGAUAGUCGGGUGUGAAAGCCCUGGGCUCAACCCAGGAAGUGCACUCGAAACUUCCGAGCUGGAGUCCCGGAGAGGAAGGCGGAAUUCUCGGUGUAGAGGUGAAAUUCGUAGAGAUCGAGAGGAACACCUGUGGCGAAGGCGGCCUUCUGGACGGUGACUGACGCUGAGACGCGAAAGCGUGGGGAGCAAACAGG